rnacentral:rRNA from 1 species
AGUGAACGCUGGCGGCGUGCUUAACACAUGCAAGUCGAACGAGAACGGAUUAUAGCUUGCUAUAAUCGUCAGCUAAGUGGCGCACGGGUGAGUAAUGUAUAGGUAAUAUGCCUCUUACUAAGGGAUAACAAAUGGAAACGUUUGCUAAUACCUUAUACUCCUUAUUAACCUAAGUUAAUAAGGGAAAGAUUUAUUGGUAAGAGAUUAGCCUGUAUUGUAUCAGUUAGUUGGUGGGGUAAUGGCUUACCAAGACUAUGACACAUAACUGGUUUGAGAGGAUGAUCAGUCACACUGGAACUGAGACACGGUCCAGACUCCUACGGGAGGCAGCAGUGGGGAAUAUUACACAAUGGACGAAAGUCUGAUGCAGCAACGCCGCGUGGAGGAUGACACAUUUCGGUGCGUAAACUCCUUUUAUAUGAGAAGAUAAUGACGGUAUUAUAUGAAUAAGCACCGGCUAACUCCGUGCCAGCAGCCGCGGUAA